CGCUUGAGUCUGGUGUUUGAGGCUGCAGUGAGCUAUGAUUGCAUCACUGUACUCCAGCCUGGGUGACAGAGUGAGACCUUGUCUCAAAAAUAACAUAUAAUAAAAUAAAAGAGUCACAUAAGAAGAAAUACCUUGUCUCUGUCUCUAGAUGCUGGUUUCUGCAGCAGCCUCUCUGCAACCUGAGGGCAGCAAUGCCGACAGGCAGCAAGCUGCAGGCACACUUGACAGAUGUGAAGAUCUGGGUUCUGGGGAUGCUGUUGAGCUGCUCGAUGAGCCCACUUUGGACCUGCCCUACCGCCAGACUUUUUGUGAUCCAAGUGCAAGGAAAUUACAGGGCUAUCAACUCUAUCUCUUUCCAAGACCAGAAAGUCGGCAGAUGGAGAACGGUUUCUAGAUGGGGAGGGAAUCUGCCUUUGGAACUUUUAGCGACCUGGUAUGGUUCAACAUUCCAUCACUAUGCAAAAAUAAAU
rnacentral:lncRNA from 1 species